AACGAACGCUGGCGGCAUGCCUAACACAUGCAAGUCGAACGAGACCUUCGGGUCUAGUGGCGCACGGGUGCGUAACGCGUGGGAACCUGCCCUUAGGUUCGGAAUAACCCCCCGAAAGGGGUGCUAAUACCGGAUAAUGUCUUCGGACCAAAGAUUUAUCGCCUUUGGAUGGGCCCGCGUUGGAUUAGCUAGUUGGUAGGGUAAAAGCCUACCAAGGCGACGAUCCAUAGCUGGUCUGAGAGGAUGAUCAGCCACACUGGGACUGAGACACGGCCCAGACUCCUACGGGAGGCAGCAGUGGGGAAUAUUGGACAAUGGGCGAAAGCCUGAUCCGGCAAUGCCGCGUGAGUGAUGAAGGCCUUAGGGUUGUAAAGCUCUUUUACCCGGGAUGAUAAUGACAGUACCGGGAGAAUAAGCUCCGGCUAACUCCGUG
rnacentral:rRNA from 1 species